UUACAUACUGUACGUGUCUCGGACAGGAGAAUAAGUGCACACUAUGUGUCAGCUGAGUCCCCAAGUCAAGUGACGGCCAGUUUGCUUGGGGCUUGUGAUAAAGGUUCAUAGUGACACAUAUACGGACUUAUUCUUUUUUUGACAUUGAGCAGUUUUAGAUUUCUUUGAGCAGUCAGUGAAGUUACUCGGAGGAUUAUCUGACCUUUGGAAAAGGAAACCUGAAAAAAAAUAUGAGGGAUAAAGCCUUCUUAGCUCUUCUGCUGACAGUGACUUUAAAUCUGGUCUACUCUCUUGAGCAAUGCAGACAAACUAACCUCUGGCGAUGUUCGACCAUUUCACUGCUGAGCGGAAACCCAAAUGACGAAAACCAGGCUGUUUUAAAAGAACUGUGUAACGCAGGAGUUGGCCAUGUUAUGGAUCAAUCCGCCUUCCAGGGUCAACUAGCUGUCAUCAACAUUCGCAGAGAUGCUUCACCUGAUGACGCCAUGUGGCUCGGGGGUCAAUGCCCAAAUGUUGUCUGUAAUGACACGUGGUUCUUGGACGAACUCGUUUCCCUUCUAGCUGGAAGGAGCGGAACUGGGAAAGGGACAUAUAAGUGGUAUCGCCAUGGCUUGCCAUUGUGGCCCCUUCUGUAUCAAUCCCUAAAUCAUGACCGCGGACGCAUUCUGCGCGUGAUACUUCGAAAGAAACUUGACUGGCCAAACUAUGCUCUAGCAGUGCCUGUUUACCAAGUCCUGGACGAAUACGGGAGAACUAAACGCCCUGAUAUCGCUGCGAUGAAGUUAUUCAAGCAGGGUUUAAAGCGUGCCAGUUUCUCAAAACCUUUGAAAUUUAAACGUUUUGUGGACAGUUUCAUGAAGAACUUCCAGGAUACUAAGGGAUCAUACUAUAAAGUUGGAAUUGAAUUCAUUGAAGGCUACGACAAAUGGCUGAAGCCUUUGGUCAUACACAGUCUUCCAGAAAUGCUCAAGUCAAAAAUCAAGAAGUGCAGGGCUAAACUCUGCAUCUUCCUUCUGAAGAAACCAAGCCUUUCUUUUAUCGAUGAACUGAAGUCAGACCUGAUUCACAUUCUGAAAGCAAUGAAAUGUCCUCACUUACCAGUCAUCAUCGGCUAUCAAGAUUCAUAACCGAACAAAUAGUUGUUCUCUGUCUGAUGCAAGCUUUCUGAAUGGAACCCACCACAAAUAGAAAGCAAUUUCUUAAAUCCUUCUAAAGCCAAGCUUUGGAGCAUUCCUCCUGCGGCUAGGUUUCUAGUUACUAUUAAUCCUGUAUCCUUUCUUAAGUCGUGGGAUAAACAGUCACAGGGCUGUCCGUCUCUUUAGCUCCUGUGCUUACAGAAAUGAUUAGACAUGAUUAAAUAUCCAUAUCACAGUUUACAAAAGCCUUUGAAGUUUAUCAGAACAUUGUACCAUCAAAGUAAUUGGGGACAUUUGAAGUUUGUUAUGUUAACUUAAUUCAGAAUUGUGGAAUUUUUCAACCACUGAUAUUUCACCUUUUCUUCGGAGUAUUGCUGAAUGCCACAGUGAAUUUUCAUAUGCAUCUCUAAUAAAGCAGAAUGGCUGAUU